ACCACCGUCGUAUGUUUUCUGCCAGGAACCACACCGAUCAUUGUUUUUUCUGCCACAAAGAUCUCUUGUCGUCGCCGAUCUGCCGUGAAGAUCUCCCGUCGUUGCCGAUCUGCCACGAAGACCUUCUGUCAUCGCCGAUCUGUUGUGUAGAUCUCUCGUUGUCGUCGAUCUACCACGAAGACCUCGCGUCAUCUUCGAUUUGCCGUUAAAAUCCCCGUCGUUGCCGAUCUGCCACGAAGCGAAGCCCACCGUCACCAAUCUGCCACGAACGCCCACCGUCGUUGCCUCAACAUGAACCGACUCCCACGAAGAAAUCCAACCACCCAUCACCAUGCAAAUAUUCAGCAUCGUUAUUUGAUUGUACGAACAAAUUACGAUCAUGUGCACAGAUGUCAGUAUAAUUUGUCUCGACGUCGCAGGAUUGAUUACUACUUGCAACAGAGGCAAAAGUUUCGACGUUUUUCCAGACUUGGAGUUUGUCAUACACCUUGUUGGUCAACAUUGUCUGUAUCUUCCCCUAUAGUGAUGACUUCAAGCAGUGUCGAAUCGAACGAGGUAACGCUUUAUCUGUGUUUACUUUAUUAGGUUUAAAUGUGCGUAUGUUGUUUGUAAUGUGUUUGGUGAUUGGUAUGGUGUCCCAAUUUUGGUUAUCGUUCUCACUGUACUGUGAUUAGAUGAGUGAUACUGUGAACUGGUCUGCUGAGAUGACCCACAAAUUUCUAAUCCUGUUAUCUGAGCAAGCGAAAACUUAGCACGAUACUUCAAUCAAAACAGUAGAAUACCAGGAAAUGUUGGAUGACUUAUCAGCAUUGGCUGGGAGGAGACUCAACAUCACACAACUAACCUCUAAGUACUUUCGCCUGCAAAUAGUAUAUCAAGCAUGGCAGAAAUUGCUAUAACACACGGGCUUCGGCUGGGAUCAUGAGUUGCAAAACAGUAGAAUACCAGGAAAUGUUGGAUGACUUAUCAGCAUUGGCUGGGAGGAGACUCAACGUCACACAACUAACCUCUAAGUACUUUCGCCUGCAAAGAGUAUAUCAAGCAUGGCAGAAAUUGCUGUAACACACGGGCUUUGGUUGGGAUCAUGAGUUGCAAAGUCCAACGUGUCCUAUAGAGCAAAAUCCACUAGCUUAACACAUCUGGCCAUGGAAGAGCGAGAAAUAGGAGGAACAGAAGCGACUCGGGACAAUCACUUGUGAAUGUCAUUGGUAGAUUGACGAACGAGCUUGUAGAGAAGCGAAGUAUGGGAUCGAGGGCUAGCAAUUUCAGUAGAGAUGAGAGGGACGAAGAGAACACUAGUGGUCCAUCUGAUCUGUUUUCCAUGAGCAAUUGUAUUGACAUAUGACGGCCAUGCAAGUACCCACAGAGUUUUACAUGCAGCUUGUAAAGUACUUAUAUGAAAAUCUAAGGUGGCGGGAGAUAUUUGUGAAGCUCCCACCCGAGGAAAAGGCUAAUUGGAUUUAUAACGACUUUUGCAAUUUGUAAUUUGUAGAUGACACUGUAUGUCCUAAGUGUUUGCCAACACUUUUGUAUGCGUCAAUGGGCACUUGUCCUUUUAUGGCUAAACCAGACUUCUAUUCAGCACCUUGAAUAAUAAAUGUCCCCAAAUGUGUGCUACUGUAUGAACUUAUUAAUUGUCCUAUUGUUUUAUGUGAGAUUACAUGUUUCAUA